rnacentral:rRNA from 1 species
AGGUCACUGCUAUUGGGGUUCGAUUAAGCCAUGCGAGUCGACUGCCUUCUUCGGAAGGCAGGGCAGACGGCUCAGUAACACGUGGGCAAUCUACCCUCGGGUCUGGGAUAACCCCGGAAAACUGGGGAUAAUACCGGAUAGAUGGAGAGGUCUGGAAGGAUUUUCCGUCCAAAGCUCCGGCGCCCGAGGAUGAGCUUGCGGUCGAUUAGGCAGUUGGCGGUGUUAAGGACCACCAAACCUGAGAUCGAUACGGGCAGUGAGAGCUGGAGCCCGGAGAUGGGGACUGAGACACGGCCCCAGGCCCUACGGGGCGCAGCAGGCGCGAAAACUCCGCAAUGUUCGAAAGAACGACGGGGGAACCCCAAGUGCCUCAUCUUUUUUGAUGGGGCUUUUGCAUAGUGUAAAUAACUACACGAAUAAGGGCUGGGUAAGACCGGUGCCAGCCGCCGCGGUAACACCGGCGGCUCGAGUGGUGACCACUUUUAUUGGGCCUAAAGCGUUCGUAGCCGGUUCGGUAAGUCUUUGGGUAAAUCUUGCUGCUCAACAGUAAGAAUUCCGAAGAUACUGCCGGGCUAGGGACCGAGAGAGGUCGGAGGUACUCCUGGGGUAGAGGUGAAAUUCUGUAAUCCUGGGGGGACCACCAGUGGCGAAGGCGUCCGACUAGAGCGGGUCCGACGGUGAGGGGCGAAAGCCAGGGGAGCGAACCGGAUUAGAUACCCGGGUAGUCCUGGCCGUAAACGCUGUGGGCUAGGUGUUGCAUGCUCUACGGGGGCAUGCAGUGCCGAAGAGAAGUUGAUAAGCCUACCGCCUGGGAAGUACUACUGCAAGGUAGAAACUUAAAGGAAUUGGCGGGGGAGCACCACAAGGGGUGGAGUCUGCGGUUCAAUUGGAUUCAGCGCCGGAAAUCUCACCGGGGGCGACGGCAGAAUGAAGGUCAGGCUGACGACCUUACCAGACAAGCUGAGCGGAGGUGCAUGGCCGUCGCCAGUUCGUGCCGUGAGGUGUCCUGUUAAGUCAGGCAACGAACGAGACCCACACGCUUAGUUGCCAUCAAAAGCCCUUACGGGUUUGUUGGGAACGCUAAGCGGACU